rnacentral:rRNA from 1 species
CAACAAGCUACUAAGGGCAAUCGGUGGAUGCCUAGGCACCAAGAGCCGAUGAAGGACGUCGUAACCUGCGAUAAGCCCCGGGGAGCUGGUAAACGAGCUUCGAUCCGGGGAUCUCCGAAUAGGGAAACCUCGAAAGAGACCGGAGUAAUGUCCGGCGACCUCCGCCUGAAUAUAUAGGGCGGUUGGAGGGAACGUGGGGAAGUGAAACAUCUCAGUACCCACAGGAAAAGAAAACAACAGUGAUUCCGUCAGUAGUGGCGAGCGAACGCGGAAGAGGCCAAACCGUACGUGUGUGAUAGCUGACAGGCGUUGCAUGUGCGGUGUUGUGGGGCCAUUCUGACCGUGCUGUCGACCGGUCGAGCAGUCAAAAAUGACACAUGAAGUCGAAGCGUUCUGGGAAGGCGCGGCAUAGCAGGUAACACCCCUGUAGACGUAAGUGUGUCACUGCUGAGUGUCACCCCAAGUAGCAGCCAACCCCUGAAAUUGGCUGUGAAUCCGGCGGGACCACCCGCUAAGCCUAAAUACUCCUUGGUGACCGAUAGCGGACUAGUACCGUGAGGGAAAGGUGAAAAGUACCCCGGGAGGGGAGUGAAAUAGUACCUGAAACCGAUUGCCUACAAUCCGUCGGAGCUGAGCCCGUAAGGGUGAGGUGACGGCGUGCCUUUUGAAGAAUGAGCCUGCGAGUUAGUGGUAUGUGGCGAGGUUAACCCGUGUGGGGAAGCCGUAGCGAAAGCAAGUCCGAAUAGGGCGUCGAGUCGCAUGCUCUAGACCCGAAGCGGAGUGAUCUAUCCAUGGCCAGGGUGAAGCGACGGUAAGACGUCGUGGAGGCCCGAACCCACCAGGGUUGAAAACCUGGGGGAUGAGCUGUGGAUAGGGGUGAAAGGCCAAUCAAACUCCGUGAUAGCUGGUUCUCCCCGAAAUGCAUAUAGGUGCAGCGUCGCGUGUUUCUUGCCGGAGGUAGAGCACUGGAUAGUCUAGGGGGCCCACAAGCUUACCGAAAUUAGCCAAACUCCGAAUGCCGGUAAGCCAAGCGCGGCAGUGAGACUGCGGGCGAUAAGGUUCGUAGUCGAGAGGGAAACAGCCCAGAACACCAGCUAAGGCCCCUAAGCGAUGGCUAAGUGGAAAAGGAUGUGGAGUUGCGGAGACAACCAGGAGGUUGGCUUGGAAGCAGCCACCCUUGAAAGAGUGCGUAAUAGCUCACUGGUCAAGUGAUUCCGCGCCGACAAUUUAGCGGGGCUCAAGCCAUCCGCCGAAGCUGUGUCAUCUACGUAACACCCUCACAUUUGUGCAGGGGCGUGGAUGGGUAGGGGAGCGUCGUGUGCGCGAUGAAGCGGCAGGGUGACCUAGCCGUGGAGAGCACACGAGUGAGAAUGCAGGCAUGAGUAGCGAAUGAGGAGUGAGAAACUCCUCCACCGAAAGACCAAGGGUUCCAGGGUCAAGCUAAUCUGCCCUGGGUAAGUCGGGACCUAAGGCGAGGCCGACAGGCGUAGUCGAUGGACAACGGGUUGAUAUUCCCGUACCGGCGCUAGCGCGAUCAUGCCGAGGCGAGCGAUGCUAAGCACGCGAGUCGCACGGAGCCUUCGGGUGAUGUGUCGACGAGUCUGCGAACCAGACUUGUAUUAGGCAAGCUGCGGAGGGACGCAGGAAGGUAGCUCAUCCCGGGCGAUGGUAUCCGCAAGGUGAUCCCGGGCUAAGCGUGUAGGGCGAAGUGUAGGUAAAUCCGCACUUCAUGAUGCCUGAGACGUGACGGCUGGUCGGUCUACGGACCGGCGAGUGAGUGAUCCUAUGCUGCCUAGAAAAUCUUCGUGAGCGAGUUCUAGAGCCGCCCGUACCCUAAACCGACACAGGUGGUCAGGUAGAGAAUACCAAGGUGAUCGAGAUAACCGUGGUUAAGGAACUCGGCAAAAUGCCCCCGUAACUUCGGGAUAAGGGGGGCCGGACGCGUUCGCCACACAAGCUGUGGUUGGCGUGAAAGGCCGCAGAGACCAGGCCCAAGCGACUGUUUACUAAAAACACAGGUCCGUGCCAAGUCGUAAGACGAUGUAUACGGACUGACGCCUGCCCGGUGCUGGAACGUUAAGGGGAACUGUUAGCUCUCACGAGCGAGGCGGUGAACUUAAGCGCCAGUAAACGGCGGUGGUAACUAUAACCAUCCUAAGGUAGCGAAAUUCCUUGUCGGGUAAGUUCCGACCUGCACGAAUGGCGUAACGACUUGGGCGCUGUCUCGACCACGGACUCGGCGAAAUUGCACUACGAGUAAAGAUGCUCGUUACGCGCAGCAGGACGGAAAGACCCCGGGACCUUCACUAUAGUUUGGUAUUGGUGUUCGGUACAGCUUGUGUAGGAUAGGUGGGAGACUGUGAAGCGGCGACGCCAGUUGUCGUGGAGUCAACGUUGAAAUACCACUCUGGUUGUUCUGGAUAUCUAACCUAGGUCCAUUAUCUGGAUCAGGAACAGUGCCUGAUGGGUAGUUUGACUGGGGCGGUCGCCUCCCAAAAGGUAACGGAGGCGCCCAAAGGUUCCCUCAGCCUGGUUGGCAAUCAGGUUUCGAGUGUAAGUGCACAAGGGAGCUUGACUGUGAGAGGGACACCUCGAGCAGGGACGAAAGUCGGGACUAGUGAUCUGACGGUGGCAUGUGGAAGCGCCGUCACUCAACGGAUAAAAGGUACCCCGGGGAUAACAGGCUGAUCUUGCCCGAGCGUCCAUAGCGACGGCAUGGUUUGGCACCUCGAUGUCGGCUCGUCGCAUCCUGGGGCUGGAGUCGGUCCCAAGGGUUGGGCUGUUCGCCCAUUAAAGCGGCACGCGAGCUGGGUUUAGAACGUCGUGAGACAGUUCGGUCCCUAUCCGCUGCGCGCGUAGGAGUCUUGAGGAGGGCUGUCCUUAGUACGAGAGGACCGGGACGGACGAACCUCUGGUGUGCCAGUUGUCCUGCCAAGGGCACGGCUGGUUGGCUACGUUCGGAAGUGAUAACCGCUGAAAGCAUCUAAGCGGGAAGCACGCUCCAAGAUGAAGGCUCCCACAGGAUAGCCUGGUAAGGCCCCCAGCAGAACACUGGGUGAUAGGUCGGAUGUGGAAGCACAGCAAUGUGUGGAGCUGACCGAUACUAAUAGGCCGAGGGCUUGUUCCU